rnacentral:rRNA from 1 species
GACGAACGCUGGCGGCGUGCUUAACACAUGCAAGUCGAACGGAAAGGCCUGCUUUCCCUUGUGGAUUGCGGGUGCUCGAGUGGCGAACGGGUGAGUAACACGUGAGUGAUCUGCCCCCAACUUGGGUAUAAGCCUGGGAAACUGGGUCUAAUUCCCGAUAGGACUGCAGGGUGGUGCCUGUGGUGGAAAACGAUUUUCUAGUGGUUGGGGAUGAGCUCGCGGCCUAUCAGCUUGUUGGUGGGGUAAUGGCCUACCAAGGCGGCGACGGGUAGCCGGCCUGAGAGGGUGGACGGCCACAUUGGGACUGAGAUACGGCCCAGACUCCUACGGGAGGCAGCAGUGGGGAAUAUUGCACAAUGGGCGGAAGCCUGAUGCAGCGACGCCGCGUGGGGGAUGACGGCCUUCGGGUUGUAAACUCCUUUCGAUCGCGAGGAAGCCGCCUGGUUGGAAGGGUGGUGACGGUAGUGGUAGAAGAAGCACCGGCUAACUACGUG